rnacentral:rRNA from 1 species
UGCAGUCGAACGGUAACAGGCCUUCGGGCGCUGACGAGUGGCGAACGGGUGAGUAAUGCAUCGGAACGUGCCCAGUCGUGGGGGAUAACGCAGCGAAAGCUGUGCUAAUACCGCAUACGAUCUGUGGAUGAAAGCGGGGGACCUUCGGGCCUCGCGCGAUUGGAGCGGCCGAUGUCAGAUUAGGUAGUUGGUGGGGUAAAGGCUCACCAAGCCAACGAUCUGUAGCUGGUCUGAGAGGACGACCAGCCACACUGGGACUGAGACACGGCCCAGACUCCUACGGGAGGCAGCAGUGGGGAAUUUUGGACAAUGGGCGCAAGCCUGAUCCAGCAAUGCCGCGUGCAGGAAGAAGGCCUUCGGGUUGUAAACUGCUUUUGUACGGAACGAAACGGUCCUGGUUAAUACCUGGGGCUAAUGACGGUACCGUAAGAAUAAGCACCGGCUAACUACGUGCCAGCAGCCGCGGUAAUACGUAGGGUGCGAGCGUUAAUCGGAAUUACUGGGCGUAAAGCGUGCGCAGGCGGUGCUGUAAGACAGGCGUGAAAUCCCCGGGCUCAACCUGGGAAUUGCGCUUGUGACUGCAGUGCUGGAGUACGGCAGAGGGGGAUG